rfam:Plicaturopsis crispa FD-325 SS-3 unplaced genomic scaffold PLICRscaffold_66, whole genome shotgun sequence.
UGAGUUGUAGUUUAAUUUGGAAAAACACCAUUUUUUGGUAAUGGCUUUAAUAUCAGUUCGAAUCUGGUCGACUCAG